CAGCAGCCACGGUAACACGUAGGGUGCGAGCGUUAAUCGGAAUUACUGGGCGUAAAGCGUGCGCAGGCGGCUUUGCAAGACAGAUGUGAAAUCCCCGGGCUCAACCUGGGAACUGCAUUUGUGACUGCAAGGCUAGAGUACGGCAGAGGGGGAUGGAAUUCCGCGUGUAGCAGUGAAAUGCGUAGAUAUGCGGAGGAACACCAAUGGCGAAGGCAAUCCCCUGGGCCUGUACUGACGCUCAUGCACGAAAGCGUGGGGAGCAAACAGGAUUAGAGACCCCCGUAGUCCCUGUCUCUUAUAC
rnacentral:rRNA from 1 species